rnacentral:piRNA from 1 species
UCAGGGAACUUGAAAUCCCAGAGGUAGAUGC